CAAUAGCGUAUAUUAAAGUUGUUGCGGUUAAAAGCUCGUAGUUGGAUUUCUGUUGAUAACGGCCGGUCCGCACUAUGUGCGUGUAUCAGGUUCGGUGUCGGCAUCCUCGUGGGGAUCGUUUCUGUGCUUGAUUGCAUGGGGCGGAAUUCACGACUUUUACUUGAGGAAAUUAGAGUGUUCACGGCAAGCUAUCGCUUUGAAUACAUUAGCAUGGAAUAAUAAGAUAGGACCUCGGUUCUAUUUUGUUGGUUUCUAGAGCUGAGGUAAUGAUUAAUAGGGAUAGUUGGGGGCAUUCGUAUUUAACUGUCAGAGGUGAAAUUCUUAGAUUGCGUUACGACGAACUACUGCGAAAGCAUUUGCCAAGGAUGUUUUCAUUGAUCAAGAACGAAAGUAUGGGGAUCGAAGACGAUUAGAU
rnacentral:rRNA from 1 species